GUGAAAACCCUAAACUGAUAGUCUCUUUGUUCUUAUUUGAUCGCAACAAUUACAUUUAAUCUUCAACGAUUAUAUUAGUAAGACUCAAUUGCUCCUAUUUCUUCUCCUCCAUCUCAAUUAGGUUAGUGGUGUAAUACCACUGCAUAGUGAUAUCUUAAAAGUUGAGCUAUUAGCUGAUUAUUUUUCUAUAUGGCCAAUUAAGUUCAAAAUAAGACCAAUGGCAUAACACCUAGAAUGUGGCUCAAGAUCGUCGAACUAUAGCAAAUUGGUCUAAAAGACAAUGGGUCACCAACCUAGACCUGCUUGUGGGUUUGCAGGAGGUUCAAAUGGAAACGACAACUUCGUUGUCAUUGCUUAGCAAUUAUCUAUAAAGCACCUCAAAAUAUACUGGAAUGGUUCAAGCAUCCACAAAGACAUCUUUAGAGAAGAAAGCCUUUUAGAAACACUACCUUCAAUCAGUAUGUUCACGUCAGCUUUAAGUUUGGUGGAUAAGCUAUGCUGAUAUCUCAGGCAUUAAUGUUUCUUAUAGCUUGCAUUAGCACAUCUAUCAGUGGUUUUAAUCUAUUUUAGACAAAGUGAUCUACUUUUGUUCAACAGGUUGUAUUAGUUACUAUUAUUACAAAUAUUUGAUUAUUUGAACCAUCUUAUUCAUGAU